rnacentral:lncRNA from 1 species
GAUAAGUAAUUAUCGAUAAGGAUAAAAAUCGAAUCGAUAAUUACUUAUUCCCUGCUCGAAAGGAUAGAGAAGCUGUUUCCAAUAUAUUCUUUCACUCAUUUGGAUACGAAGAUUGAAAAGUAAAGUGACGGGAAAAGAUGGUGGAUUGGGAGAAAGAGAGAAAAAAUGUAGUAUAUGAUCAUUUUGACAAUUGUUACAAAAAAAAAAAAA